UGUACUUGUUUUUAGUGGUACGAUCUUUUGAUCUUACGAAUCAAAAUUAGUCAAGGAUUCCAAAACAAAAAAAAUUGUCUCCCUCUCUCUUUCCCAAAAACCAUAACGCGUAUCUCUCCUCUUCCCAAAAUCAGCUUGCGGUCACCAUCAUUUUUCCAAAAUCAGCUCCAACCACGGACCUUCUCUCCUCCUCAUCCCUCACCCCUCACCCCUCACCCCUCAUCUACCAUCCCGAAAUAAGGAACCCUAAUCUCCACCCAAGCCUGCCGCUAGGAUGCUCGAGAAUCUCGUUUUUAGUGUCACCCUAACCCGUGAAAAUGAAAAGACGGAGAAAACAGACCCUAAAUCGAUGAUAACAAUGGAAAAGAAAUUCGUAUUCGCAAUCAAUGGCCUGAAAAGUUAAAGAUUCGGAAGAGGAUUCGUUUCUGAGAUUCAUUUCAAAUUUCAAAUCAAUUCUCUCACGUUUUGCUUAAUUUGUGUCUUGGAUCCGGACUUUCAAGUCCGGAUUCACCUAUAAAUACGUCAUCUCUAAGGGAACAAGAAAAAAAACAGUGUUAAGAGAAGGAACAAAGAAAACUAGCGAGAAAGAUUGAAAAAAGAACCAAUGAGAAAAGGUUUGAAAAAUUUGUGACAAAAGAGGAGAAAAGAGUGGAAAUCAAAGAGAGAAGCGAGUGAUGCAGGAAAAAAUCGGCUAUUAUCUUUCUGAUUUGGUCCAAUUCUGGGGUCCCGUGGUUGAGUUUGCAGUUGUCGGAAACCUUUAGGCGUCAAAGCCUCUAUUUUGCUGCACCAAGAAAGGUGGUUACACACAAUCUGUCUUGAGCCGGGGGUCUAUCGGAAACAGCUUCUGUACUCCUUCGGGGUAGUGGUAUGGACUGCGUACAUUUUAUCCUCCCAGAUCCCACUAUGUGGGGAAUAUACUGGUUUUGUUGUUGUUGUUGUUAUUGUUGUUAUUGUUGUAUGGUCUCGUGAACAAUCGGAAAUGAUUUUCCACCCCGUUUUGAUUGUAUUAUUCUCCCGAUUUUGCCAGACUUGGCUGAAUGGUAAUUCUUAAGACUUAAAACAUUUGUUUUCCCGUUUGAAAUAUGACUUCCAAAACCUCCCUUUUCUAAUAGUUUUCAUGUCCAGAUGGUCAUAGGACUCACAUCUGUGAUGUUCAAGUAGUAUUAAAUUUUUGUUUACGUCAAAAUUUUGUAUUUGGUUGAUUUUUCUUUUAAGAAAGUGGGGUAAAAUUUUGUAUCUAUGGCUUAAAUUGAUAUGGCAUCAUCACGUACCUAUUUUAUUAUCUCUCUGCGUAGUUGCAUUUCCUCAAGUUCAAAUUGAAUAAAAGUGUGUGGUGUUUUUACUUGAGCCUUGUUAAAUAAUUUUAUCUAGCCUCAAUUCUCAUUCUCACAUAUGUCCGGUGUCAAAAUAGGUGAACAUGCAAUUCAUGUUGGUUUCAAAUUCGGCCGUGGAGUUAUUCUGGUCUAAAUUAAAUUACAAUUUUCUAUAAAUAUGGCAAUUCCGUGUUUAGAAUAUGUGAUGUAUUUUGUUCCCAGUGAAUUCAAAAUGCAAAGUCAACGAAGUUGGUAAUUGAGUCAAGUUUUGUGCUUCUUUAUUUGGUCUGGACGGACAUUCACACGAGCAUUUCAAGAAUUAAAUAUAUGGCCUUACUUAUUUUCGUUCACUGUAUAGUCUUAAGGCGCGUAUUGUAUUUCUUUAAUCACUUCCUGGAAGAGUAAAAAUUGGAAAGAGGAUGGUAAGUGUAACUAGAAACCCUUUUCUGUUUGGCCUUUUGAUAGGUCGUUAAGUUUCCAUUAUGAAAGGGACAAUGUGUGUAAUUAAUGAAUUAGUUGCUUUAAAGUGUCCCGGUACUUCUUCACGCGUGUGCAUCUAUAGUAAAGUUUAUUGGCAAUAGUUCCCCUUUGGUGGUAGUCUUUCAAAGAAUUAAGAGUAUUUUGUUCGAGUUUAGUAUCUGUUUGAUCACAUUUUAGACAUUUCGAAGUUUAAAUGUUUGUUCUUUCUUAAUUUCAUUUUCUGGGCUUAUUACUUGACUCUCAGAUUCCUAAUUUGUCACGACCCAAAUGCGAGAGUCAUGAUGACACUUAUCACGGCGUAUCUUGACAAGUAAGCCUAUCACCCAAAUUGAUACAAAAAGAGGAAAAGAUAGAAACAUCUCAAGGUAAGACUUCUAAAACGAAGCUGAACCAUAUAAGUAAUUAUAACAAUGCGGAAAACUCUUAUUCAAAAUACCAAUCAUGCCCAAAAUCAGGUGUCAAUAGUGUAAGAAACACUAAUACAAUUCAGGAGUCAAAUACAUCAGAAAAAUAAAUAAAAGAAAAUAAUAUAUGUCUCCGAAUACUAAUAAAGACAUAACUACAAUAGAAGCAUAGAGGUGAACUCCGGAUGCUUCAAUAAUUGCUCGAGUCAAGCAAGCCAAGGCGCACUCGAGCUAGGACCUGCACCGAAAGACUGCUGUAGGCAUGAGUAUGGUUCACUUGUACUCAGUAGGUAUCAUAGGCCGAUUAAACAAAGUAGUAAAUAAAGCAUACAAAAUAUACACUAAGGGCACGCCACCUGCAAUUAAAAAAUGUCCCAUGAUGGUAGCUGACACCGCUUGUACUAAUAGUUCUAUAAUAUCCAUAUAUAAUACAACAACACACAAGAUACGAAUACAAAUAUACACAUUAUCACAUACAGGUAGAACAAAAGAGGGGCAUGUAUAAUCAAGACCAUCAAGUACAUUUAAAGGAAGAUAGAACAAUUAGACAUUAACAAGUCAAGAUAUAGAACAAAUAGGUAAAUGACAAGUCAAUAUGUCAAUUCAAACACAACAUAAACACAAUAAGGCGGGUGCAAUAUAUAUGAUGAUGAUGAUGAUGCAUGGUAUUGACACAUAGCCUCAAGUUUCACACACAACCUCAAGUUUGGCACACAACUUUAAAUUUAACAAACAACCUCAAGUUUGGCACACAACCUUAAAUUUGGCAAACAGCCUCAAGUUUGGCAUAUAACCUCAAGAUCACCAAUAUCCACAAUUUUUCUCUGGCAUGAUCAUUUGAAGAUGGUUCACAAAAUCCAAUAUCCGAUACCAAUAUCUAGUAUUCCAAUGUUUUCAGUAUUUUCAAAGCACAUACAUAACAUAAGACAUAAAUCAAAUACACAUAUAUGACAACAAGUAUAUAUAAAGCAGUAAAACGAACAAGUGAAAUGAUGUGUAUGAUGACAUGAGAAUGACGAUGCAAUGUUCACAAUCAUUCAAAAUGAGUAUUUCCACAACCAAAUCACGUGAUAUAUUUUCACGCCUAAUCCACAUGAUGUAUUUCUACAACUAGCCAUAAUGUUACAAUUCUACAAUCACGUGAGCCAAUAUUAAGGCUGUUCAAAAUCGAAUCGUAUCCAAUAAGCCAUCCGCAAAAUUGACUUAUUGGCUUAUUGAUAUUGGCUAUCGGAUAAACGGUUGGUGAACGCAUUAAAAUUUUUUUCAUUAACGGCUUAUUAAAGUGGGGGUGGAUUACACUAUUUCCUUAUUGGAUAAACCGUUAACCCGUUAAAAAUUAUCAUAUAUUCUUAUAUUUUUCACCUAAAUGUGUAAAAUACAUAUUAAUUUAUAUUAUAUUAUAAAAUAUAAAUUCAAACCUAAUGGAUCUAUAUUCGAACCUAAAGGCCCAUUCCUAAUUAACCUCGAAUAAUAUAAAAAUUAAACAGUAAAGUACUAAAGUUAUCAACGCAAAAAAGCAAAGCAACAGAAGGUUUGCCAACUUCAAAAGCUCUACCGACUUUAAACUUUAAAUAUAUUUUUCAAAGGAAAGAAAACAGCAUUAGGGGCUAAAGUUGGUUGGCUAGAAAAGGAAAUCCAGGAAAUAGUUCCUGAUAUUAAGCAUGUGGACAUUGAAGCACAUAGUUUAAUUAGUGCAUCCUCGUGAGCUUGUUACGAUCAAAUGCUUAAUUUGUUGUAAUAUAUGUCACUUUUGUUUCAAGAAUAUCAUAAUGUGGAGAAAUUAAUGUAUUAUAGCUUGGGCAAAUGAAACUUUUUGCUUACAAUAUUGAGAGUUCUCUUUGAACCAUGUACUACAUAAAUUGAAAAAUUUGUUAUGAUUGAGAUUGCCAAUUAUUAUGUUCUGUUUUCUGUAAGGUGUUUGAAUUCAAGUAGAAAUUGUGAAUGUCCAAUAAACCGUCUGAUAACCGCCCGAUAAUUAUUUAUCCGUUACCAAACCAACCGAUAUCUUAUUGGUUGGCUAGUAGAUUUGUAUAUUUUAAAAUCGAUAAUUGUUAAGCCAAACUGUUAUAUUUAAUGGUUCAUCCGAUCCGUCCGAUAAGCAGCCUUAGCCAAUAUCCACUCAUUACUUCUGUUUCAUCCAUGAAUUUUCACAUGUCUCAUAUACCAAUAAGUAUGGAUAUAUCACAAUAUACCAAUGAAACCACAUUAGGCAUUUCAACAACACAAUAGAAUUAUUCACAUGUAUUCAAGGUUAACAAUGUCACAUAGGACCCCACACGAUCACACAUCACAUAAUAUCUCAAUUACGAUAAUUACAUCUUAUAUAGGCCUCCACACGUGCACAAUACAUAGAUAGACAUUUUUUAUGAUUAGUUCCCAUCCACAUUUUUUAUUAACAUUUACUACCCAGCCAGUCUGAAAGAGUUAAGCCAUAACUUAUCUCAAAAGUCGAAAUCGGUUCGCUACAUUCCGAACCCACGAUCUUACUUUUCAUGAAAAUUCUUAAACUUCACUAAAAACAUCAAAUAUGAAAUCUAUGCAUCAAAACAAAACCAACAACACCUAUAUUGACUACUUUUAGUUCGGGCUCAAAACGAACCCCAAAACGAGUUUCCAAAAGAGAAAGGCAGAAUCGAAACUUUACUUCAAAAACAUGUUCUCCAUAUUUUUAGAAAUCUAUAGCUGAAAACCCAAGUCAAAUCGAGUAAAAAAAGAGGUUCAAAUUGAAGAAAAACCAUUUUU